AUUGAACGCUGGCGGCAGGCCUAACACAUGCAAGUCGAACGAGUGGCGGACGGGAGAGUAAUGUAUGGGAAACUGCACGAGGGAGGGGGAGAACCACGGGAAACUGUAGCAUAUACCGCGUACCAUGGGGAGAGCACAAGUGGGAUUAGGGAGGUGGAGGGGUAAAGGCACACCAAGCAGACGAUCUCUAGCUGGUCUGAGAGGAUGACCAGCCACACGGGUACUGAGACACGGCCCAGACUCCUACGGGAGGCAGCAGUGGGGAAGAUUGCGCAAUGGGGGCAACCCUGACGCAGCCAUGCCGCGUGAAUGAAGAAGGCCUUCGGGUUGUAAAGUUCUUUCGGUAGCGAGGCGUUACCUACAGAAGAAGCACCGGCUAACUCCGUGCCAGCAGCCGCGGUAAUUC
rnacentral:rRNA from 1 species